CGCGCCUGUAUCUUGCUGAACCGUAUCUUUGCUUUCUUCCGGUUGAGCAAAAUUUCAGGUGUGUGA
rnacentral:pre_miRNA from 1 species